UACUUAGUGGCAGACGGGUGAGUAACAUGUAGGUAUCUGCCCUUUGGCCUGGAAUAACACGAGGAAACUUGUGCUAAUACCGGAUAAGUCUUUACGGAGAAAGCUUUAUGCACCAUUGGAUGAGCCUGCACUUGAUUAGUUUGUUGGUGGGGUAAUGGCCUACCAAGACUGUGAUCAAUAGCUGAUUUGAGAGGAUGAUCAGCCACAUUGGGACUGAGACACGGCCCAAACUCCUACGGGAGGCAGCAGUGGGGAAUCUUGCACAAUGGAGGAAACUCUGAUGCAGCGAUGCCGCGUGAGUGAAGAAGGCCCUUGGGUUGUAAAGCUCUUUCGUCGGGGAAGAAAAUGACUGUACCCGAAUAAGAAGGUCCGGCUAACUUCGUGCCAGCAGCCGCGGUAAUACGAAGGGACCUAGCGUAGUUCGGAAUUACUGGGCUUAAAGAGUUCGUAGGUGGUUGAAAAAGUUAGUGGUGAAAUCCCAGAGCUUAACUCUGGAACUGCCAUUAAAACUUUUCAGCUAGAGUAUGAUAGAGGAAAGCAGAAUUUCUAGUGUAGAGGUGAAAUUCGUAGAUAUUAGAAAGAAUACCAAUUGCGAAGGCAGCUUUCUGGAUCAUUACUGACACUGAGGAACGAAAGCAUGGGUAGCGAAGAGGAUUAGAUACCCUCGUAGUCCAUGCCGUAAACGAUGUGUGUUAGACGUUGGAAAUUUAUUUUCAGUGUCGCAGGGAAACCGAUAAACA
rnacentral:rRNA from 1 species